GGGCGAAUGGUCUAGGGGUAUGAUACUCCCUUCGCAUGUCAUUGUCGGUAUUGGUAGGAUUCACGUCUUACUCUGUACGCUUGACAAAUCUCUGCCUGGGAGGGGUCCGGGGUUCAAUUCCCCGUUUGUCCA